rnacentral:rRNA from 1 species
AGCAAUUGUACGGCGAAACUGCGAAUGGCUCAUUAAAUCAGUUAUCGUUUAUUUGAUAGUACCUCUCCUACUUGGAUAACCGUGGUAAUUCUAGAGCUAAUACAUGCUAAAAAUCCCGACUUCGGAAGGGAUGCAUUUAUCAGAUACAGAACCAAUGCCCUCCGGGGCUCUCUGGUGAAUCAUGAUAACUCCGCGGAUCGCACGGCCUUGCGCCGGCGAUGGUUCAUUCAAAUUUCUGCCCUAUCAACUUUCGACGGCUGGGUCUUGGCCAGCCGUGGUGACAACGGGUAACGGAGGGUUAGGGCUUGACCCCGGAGAAGGAGCCUGAGAGACGGCUACUACAUCCAAGGAAGGCAGCAGGCGCGCAAAUUACCCAAUCCCGACUCGGGGAGGUAGUGACAAUAAAUACUGAUCCAGGGCUCUUUUGGGUCUUGGAAUUGGAAUGAGUACAAUUUAAAUCCCUUAACGAUCACCAAUUGGAGGGCAAGUCUGGUGCCAGCAGCCGCGGUAAUUCCAGCUCCAAUAGCGUAUAUUAAAGUUGUUGAGGUUAAAAAGCUCGUAGUUGAACCUUGGGCCUGGCUGGCCGGUCCGCCUCACCGCGUGCACUGGUCCGGCCGGGCCUUUCCCUCUGGGGAACCGCAUGCCCUUCGCUGGGUGUGCUGGGGAACCAGGACGUUUACUCUGAACAAAUCAGAUCGCUCAAAGAAGGCUCUCGCUCGAAUGCAUUAGCAUGGAAUAAUGGAAUAGGACGUGCGGUUCUAUUUUGUUGGUUUCUAGGACCGCCGUAAUGAUCAAUAGGGACAGUCGGGGGCAUCCGUAUUCAGUUGUCAGAGGUGAAAUUCUUGGAUCUACUGAAGACGAACUACUGCGAAAGCAUUUGCCAAGGAUGUUUUCAUUAAUCAGGAACGAAAGUUAGGGGAUCGAAGACGAUCAGAUACCGUCGUAGUCUUAACCAUAAACUAUGCCGAUUAGGGAUCGGACGAUGCUAUUUUUUGGCUCGUUCGGCACCUUACGACAAAUCAAAAUG